GAUGAACGCUGGCGGCGUGCCUAAUACAUGCAAGUCGAGCGAACAGACGAGGAGCUUGCUCCUCUGACGUUAGCGGCGGACGGGUGAGUAACACGUGGAUAACCUACCUAUAAGACUGGGAUAACUUCGGGAAACCGGAGCUAAUACCGGAUAAUAUAUUGAACCGCAUGGUUCAAUAGUGAAAGACGGUUUUGCUGUCACUUAUAGAUGGAUCCGCGCCGCAUUAGCUAGUUGGUAAGGUAACGGCUUACCAAGGCAACGAUGCGUAGCCGACCUGAGAGGGUGAUAGGCCACACUGGAACUGAGACACGGUCCAGACUCCUACGGGAGGCAGCAGUCGGGAAUCUUCCGCAAUGGGCGAAAGCCUGACGGAGCAACGCCGCGUGAGUGAUGAAGGUCUUCGGAUCGUAAAACUCUGUUAUUAGGGAAGAACAAAUGUGUAAGUAACUAUGCACGUCUUGACGGUACCUAAUCAGAAAGCCACGGCUAACUACGUG
rnacentral:rRNA from 1 species